GACGUAGGGUGCGAGCGUUGUCCGGAUUUAUUGGGCGUAAAGAGCUCGUAGGCGGCUCGUCGCGUCAGCUGUGAAAUCUCGUGGCUUAACUGCGGGCUUGCAGCUGAUACGGGCGGGCUAGAGUUCGGUAGGGGAGACUGGAAUUCCUGGUGUAGCGGUGAAAUGCGCAGAUAUCAGGAGGAACACCGGUGGCGAAGGCGGGUCUCUGGGCCGAUAUUGACGCUGAGGAGCGAAAGCGUGGGGAGCGAACAGG
rnacentral:rRNA from 1 species